CUUUUCGUACACUGCAGAUUCACACAGCAGGUUUGGCGACUCUUCAAUUUGUGGGCGGGAACCUCUUUCACCCUGCCUGGUGUGAGUUUCACCAUGACGGAGGAAUGGUGGCUGAAAGCGAGGCAGCAGAUCCCCAAGGCUGGGAGGCGCAACUUCGACACCCUGGUAAUUCUCAUGCAUUGGAGAAUCUGGAAGGAAAGGAACGCAAGGGUUUUUAAUCAACUAGCCAGCAGUGCAGAUAAAGUGUUGGAUGCAGUCAGGGAGGAUAUUAGUAUUUGGAGGUCAGCCGGUUGUAUCGAUGACACGGUCCCUUAA
rnacentral:rRNA from 1 species